UACGGAGGGUGCAAGCGUUAUCCGGAAUCACUGGGCGUAAAGGGCGCGUAGGUGGUCUGUUAAGUCUGGCGUUAAAGCCUGGGGCUCAACCCCAGAUCAGCGUUGGAUACUGGCAGGCUAGACGGUUGGAGAGGCGAGUGGAAUUACCAGUGUAGCGGUGGAAUGCGUAGAUACUGGUAGGAACACCCAUUGCGAAGGCAGCUCGCUGGACAACACGUGACACUGAGGCGCGAAAGUGUGGGGAGCAAACCGGAUUAGAUACCCCCGUAGU
rnacentral:rRNA from 1 species